rnacentral:lncRNA from 1 species
AAAUCUGAAGGAUCAGCAAGCUGUAGCAUAAGUGGCAAAACAAACCUCCUCAGGCACAGGUAACAGGAGAAUACAGCAUAGGAGUGUGUAUGCUUGGGAAAGUGGCCAAUGCUGCCAGGACAAGGCAUCUUCUGAAACUGAAGGAGAAUUAUUCUGCUCAUGAAAAAAGCAAGAGAAAUAUAAACAGACUGGUACAUGUUAUAUAAAACUAUGGGAAGAAAAGAGCAUCUUAGAGCCCCAGCAGGUGACAGAAGGAAAAGCCACUGGCCCAUGAACUAGGAGCCCAGAGCAUCAUCAAGCUUUGCUGCUACCCUGGAGGAGGAAAAAAGAAAAGGGUGAAGAGUGAACCUACAGGACCCAGAAUGCCACUUGGCUGGAUGACAGAUUCAUUUUGUCCCUUCUCUUUGCUGCUUUGCUAGUUGCCUUUUGAAGGGCAU